rnacentral:rRNA from 1 species
UUAACGCGAAGGACCUUACCAAAUCUUGACAUCCUUUGAAAACUCUAGAGAUAGAGCCUUCCCCUUCGGGGGACAAAGUGACAGGUGGUGCAUGGUUGUCGUCAGCUCGUGUCGUGAGAUGUUGGGUUAAGUCCCGCAACGAGCGCAACCCUUAAGCUUAGUUGCCAUCAUUAAGUUGGGCACUCUAGGUUGACUGCCGGUGACAAACCGGAGGAAGGUGGGGAUGACGUCAAAUCAUCAUGCCCCUUAUGAUUUGGGCUACACACGUGCUACAAUGGACAAUACAAAGGGCAGCUAAACCGCGAGGUCAUGCAAAUCCCAUAAAGUUGUUCUCAGUUCGGAUUGUAGUCUGCAACUCGACUACAUGAAGCUGGAAUCGCUAGUAAUCGUAGAUCAGCAUGCUACGGUGAAUACGUUCCCGGGUCUUGUACACACCG